rnacentral:tRNA from 1 species
GGAGAGGUGCCGGAGUGGCCGAACGGGGCCGCCUGCUAAGCGGUUGGCCCGCCAAAAGCGGGCUCGAGGGUUCGAAUCCCUCCCUCUCCG